rnacentral:lncRNA from 1 species
CGGAGGAGGCGCGGUGGGUGUGCUACCCUUCGCUGUGGCUGCCGCAGCCCUGAACUGAGGGAAUCGCGGGCGAGCUCGGAGCUGUGCCAUGAAGGUCAGAGAUGUGUUAACACUGUUCCGGACCCCAGGGGGAGGACUGUGAGACAGGAAGUAAAAGUCACUGUGGAGAGAGGACGGGGCAGAGCAGAGCACACCCUGUGUCCUGAGCGCAGUGAUGAGCGAGGGCUGCUACCGUGAUGCACCUUCCGCAUCCCUCAGUGCUUGCGUGACGACUUCCGUGUGGUGAUGUGUGGAUCCCACAGAGCAGGAGGAACCUGGUGUCAGUCAAGUUUGUACAAUGUUUAGGGCUCAGUGAGCUUUGAGGACGUGGCUGUGCACUUCACCCGGGACGAGUGGGCUCUGCUGGAUCCUUCCCAGAGGAGUCUGUACAGGGACGUGAUGCUGGAGACCUGCAGGAGCCUCGCUGCUGUAGGACACAAGUGGGAAGACCAUUAUAAAAAUCCUGGGAGAAAUCUGAGGUACAUUGGAAAUACGUCAGGAAACACAUAGUGGAAAAAAUCCCUAUCAAUACAAGGAAUGCGGAAAGACCUCUGGGAAAGUUAGCUUACUCUGUGCACAUGGAGGAACACAUGCUGGAGGAAAAUGUUACGAGUGCAACCAAUGUGGGAAAGCUCUGAGUUCGUACAGCUCACUUCGAAGACAUGAGAGAAUCCAUACUGAGAAAAAACCAUAUAAGUGCAAACAGUGCGGGAAAGCCUUUCGAUACCACAGUUACCUUCACUUACAUGAACGAAUCCACACUGGCGAGAAACCCUAUGAAUGUAAACGAUGUGGGAAAGCGUUUAUAUUUCCGGGUGCCUUGCAGGUACAUGAAAAAAUUCACACGGGAGAAAAACGUCACGAGUGU